rnacentral:rRNA from 1 species
GAUGAACGCUGGCGGCGUGCCUAACACAUGCAAGUCGAGCGAUGAAGUUUCCUUCGGGAAACGGGUUAGCGGCGGACGGGUGAGUAACACGUGGGUAACCUGCCUCAUAAUGGGGGAUAGCCUUUCGAAAGGAAGAUUAAUACCGCAUAACAUCAUUAAAUGGCAUCAUUUAAUGAUCAAAGGAUUUAUUCGUUAUGAGAUGGACCCGCGUCGCAUUAGCUAGCUGGUAAGGUAAUGGCUUACCAAGGCGACGAUGCGUAGCCGACCUGAGAGGGUGAUCGGCCACAUUGGGACUGAGACACGGCCCAGACUCCUACGGGGGGCAGCAGUGGGGAAUAUUGCACAAUGGGGGAAACCCUGAUGCAGCAACGCCGCGUGAGUGAUGACGGUCUUCGGAUUGUAAAGCUCUGUCUUUGGGGACGAUAAUGACGGUACCCAAGGAGGAAGCCACGGCUAACUACGUGCCAGCCGCCGCAGUAA